CUCAAUUCAGUGCAGUUCAGUUUCACACCUGAAGUCAAGCAUUUCAUGCAAAUGUUUGAGGAACAAUGACUUGUAUGACUUGUUUGGUUUCAUGCCUCUUUUGUAGUACAUGUAAGCCUUAAUGUUUAGAAUAUCUGCCUUUUUUUCCCCUUGUUUCCAGAUUGUCAUGGUUAAGGAAGAGUGACCCCGUUUACCCCUGACCCACUUGAGCAGCCUCAUGAGGACAGCAGUAAAGGAAGUUUUCCUGGAGUCUUGGCUGUCCUGUGGGUUUCAUUAGAUUUUCAUGAAGCCUCUUCAAUCUGGUUCUUGCCUGUGAAUCUUCUUUUACAGUCAUUACAUGAUGAGUCUAUGGGCAUUGAUUGCUCUGACAAGGUGAGGAUGUGGGAGAAGAAGACAGUCUCAGUAUCAUCACCUUCAUAAGGAGUUUGUAAGUAAUGCAGCACAGAUGAGUUGAGGGAGCUGGGAGAUGGAGAUAUCGCCUUGAAAUAUGGAGGCAGAGGUUAUUUCUUGUCAUACAGUAUGUACUGUUGCUUACUUCAAGAGUUGCUUAGCAGACUCUGCAAAGCCAGUAGUCCUAGAACGAUAUUUGAGAGUGAAUUGCAAUAGCAACAUAAGUAGUAACAGAAAAGGCUUUACCCUGAUUUUACAGGUUGUAUGCAUUUUAUUGUUUUCAGGACUGAGUCAUACUGUAAGGCCUUUUAAUAGCUGAAAGGAUGAAAAAAUAGAAAAACAGAGCAACCUCUUUGGUGUGAUUGUCUCCCAGUGUACAGACAUCUUUGCAUCUAAAUUUCAAAGGAAAUACAGCUUUUCUCUUAAAAGGAAUAAUAUUAAGAAAUAAUAUCUGUAGUUUAUAUGGCCCAUCUUCUGUUGCCCAUUCAUCAUUUCCAGCAAGGGAGAUGACUUUUAUGUUGGCAGAUGACAUUAAGCAACAAGUAACGCUCUGGACAGCAACCAGUCUCCCUCCAAUAAAAGGCAAAGGCAUGCGGUGGGAAGUGUGACAUGUGUGCUGCUGCUUAUAUCCUCUGGGCUUAGUUAAAGAAGAAGGUCAGGAAGCUUUAGGCAUUGCCCAGUGGUUCAUGAUUUGGAACAAAUUAAUCUGAGAGCAAAAUCUGGCUUGGGAUGUAUUGACAUGGAUGGCACAUUCCUUAAUGCUCUAUUUAUAUGACAAUAGAAGAGAGUUAUGUCGCCUACGCAGAAGACCUAUACAGAAGAGGUUCUUCACCGUCACUACCAGAAGCACACACAAGAUCAUCCUGAUCCCACUCAGGUUAACUGUCUGGACAGCUGUGAGUCAAGCCUUCAAGCCACGCUGCUUUAUCUGAUUGGUCUCAGACUUGAUCUGGCACAUGAAAGGAAAUGUGAGGAAGUUUCAAGCAGGGAUCGUUUUGCAAGUCCAGAGCUGAGGGUGAGGUCAAGUUCACUCACAUUUUUGGAGUAUCACAUUGCAAACAUAAAGCACCGUGCAUACAGCAUGAGGGUUGGUGGAGCAGUGGUUUCAACUGCAGGAGAUCUGUGUUGCUGGAGUAUUUUUGUGUUGUUUACCAGCAUCAAUGAAAUAUACCACACUAAAGAAACAGCAGUUGCAUGUAUUUUUUAAAGGCGACCCUUCUAGGGAAUAGGCAUAUGGUGACUUUAUCUUCGUUUUGAUGUUUAACUCACACAGGUGUUGCAAGCAUCUCGUGGAGCUGCAGGGUAAUGUUAGCAUUUAGUUAAUGAGUAAGUUCUUAUUAUUCAUGUGGCAUUAAUUUAGCCCACGAUGUUACUCCUUUCCUCCUGCGGUGCGUUCAGAGUCGUGGAGAUUGCUGCAAGAAUUUAUGGGAUGGAAAAGCAGAUAUUUAACUAUGGGGCUUUUUAAAGCUGUGUGGAGUAAUAAAAUCAUUACUGUUGGAAAAGACUACCAAGAUCAUCUAGUCUGACCAUCAACCCAUCGCCACCAUGCCCUCUAACCAUGUUCCUCAGUCCUACUGACUCAACUGCCCUCCUUGCAAACAAGCUCUGUUCCAGACUCAGCCUUAGGUCGUCACUUCAUAAAAAUGGUCUCAUUUCUACUAGGGCCUCACUGAGAUUUCCCAGUCACUCAUUUUUCUGAAGAUGUUUAAGUCUUAAAUGCGUACUUUGUUAUUCUGAAAGGCUUUAUGGCUUUGUGUAAUAAGUUUUUCUUAAAGGAGAAUUGUUGGGUAAGCUGUACAUUUCAGCAAAACCACAAUUUAAAAUUUUGUUAUCUGUUGUAACAUGCAGUAAAUUCCAUGGUUAAUGGAAGAGCAUAUUGAGCAAAAUCCUGUGCCACUCCUGAGCUCAGUUGUACCAAGUGCUCUAAAGGCUGUCCGUGUGGAACAGGUCUGCAUGCUUGUCACUGUUGCGGUGUAAAUGUUGUAUUUCUCAACAUCUACUACGGAGAAGCAGGAGUUUAUUCUCUAAGAAUAGAAAAGCAGAACAGAUAUGAGCAGC
ensembl:lncRNA